rnacentral:lncRNA from 1 species
UUUUUUUGAAAAUUUUGCCAAUUAAUAUUACUUCAGUUUUGAGUUUUAGGUGGAGCAUUAGGGUUUUCAUGAAAAGUUGUAAUCGAUAUAUUUUCCACCUUUAUGCUUGUGAACUGAUUCCAUGACGCAGGACAAUUUUAGGACUUUGUAUAUGCUAAGUGCAGUACAACACUUCGCUAAUAGGACAUGUUGGACACUGAGAAGAGUAAUUUUAGCACUGUAUUUUUAAAUUUAAAUUAGAUGCUCGAGUUCGAGUUCUAUUUAGAGGAUAGCUUUUCGACCUGUUUUGGAAUGAGAUAGUAGAUUCAUGUGAAUGAUCUAUGGGUUUUGGCUAUUAAACUCUGUUUCAUUGCGAUUUCAGGUAGUCCAAUGUUUCAUUGGGAUUUCAAGUAGUUCCAAUUUUUGGUUCAGUUAAGAAGAUUAUUCUUAGCCACUUUUGCGUAGCACGACACAUUUGGCCUUCUAGUCAGGUUGGAUUCAUAAUUCUUUCAAAUUUUAUUUAUAUCUUAUUUUUAAGUUUGUACUUUGAUUUGUGUAUUAUAGGCCAUUAUUCUUAUCUAGCAUGAGAUGGAAAGAGCUGGUGAAUUGUUCAUUUGAACAUUCAGUUGAAGUAACAUUCAUUGUCUAAUAGGCAAAAUGUGUGCUCUAGCAUAUCAUAUUCUUAAUAUACUCUUGCUAAAAUGGUCAUGAGCUAAUUUAAUGAAUAUAUUGAGCAUAAAUAUGAAUUUCUAGCUAAGAAAACUGUCCUAAAUUACUUUCGAAAUUUGAUAGCGAUUGUUAUUUAACUCUCUUCCCUGACAGAGAAAGAGACAUAAAGCUGUGGAAAAAGAUAGUAUUCUUCUCCAUAAAACAGCACCUACAAGGUAUUUCUUCUUUCCUUAUUCUUUGUAUGUGAUUUCCGAGCAUUGGACGACAAGUUUGGUUAAGCAUCAUUGGUUGUUUCAAGUCUCUCUAGUCAUAUAUGUGGAUUUUUCUUUGUGUGAUGUUCUUUUGGUUAAGUACUUUUGUGUUAUCUUUAUUUCUGCUCAAUAAUUCGUAUCAUUUUCCCCGUAUUAACUCUCUACUCUGAACUCAAUUUGUAUAUACAAGGGAGGCCUUUCCUUAGAGUGCAAGAGUGGUGAUGUAUAACUAGUUACUAGAUUCAAGUUCUGUUUUUUCUUUAUGUUGUUAUCCCUUUUAAAUGUUUGAGAAAGAACUGGGGUUGAUAUUGUUAAGUAGCAAUUUAUUCUACUUAGGAACAAUUGUUAGCAUUCUUAAUUUACUGAAAGAAUUUAUUUCUUUAGGAUCAACUUGUAAAUUCUGCUUUUUCUGGGAAGUCUAGUCUCUGAAUUCUAGUGCUUGUUGUUUUUCUAAUGUAGCUUGAUAACCAAAUCUAAGUUUAGAAUAGUCUAAUAUAUUUUGUCAGGUUAACAUAAUCAAGAACCGCAAACGUUGUAACUAGCACAAAGAAAAAGAAGAGGGUAAAUUUUGAAAAAAAUAAAUACACUCUUCUUGUACUUUAUUAUAUAGUUAUAAUUUUUUUAUGUGGACUUCUCGUACAUCAUUGCUGGUAGAUGUGAGAUCAAUUACUAGCAAGUGAAUGCUUGACUUUUGAAAAGAUGGAUCCAUAAAACUUUAUUGCAUAAUUUAUUCUGGAAGUUAAGGGAAUUAGCUCCAAUUAGGAGUGAUCUUAACAUAGGUGUAUGCUGGAUUCUCUGUCUUUUAUGAUUUAAUUAGUUUUUAGAUUUGUCUUUUCUGAUUUGGUUAGUAAUGGAGAGAUGAUUUUAUUUGAUGUCAUCGAAAUUGUAAGGAGUACGCUUAUUCGAUCAUCACUUUGUUCUUUUGAUACAAUAAUAAAAGUUAUUUUUUAAAAAUAUAUUUUGGACUUGUUACAUUGAUAUGGUGUUUCAUAUUUAUGAAAUUACAGACUCGAUAUAAAUAUUUAUGUCACUAUGAAAGUAUUAACAUUAACCUAAAUGUUGAAAUUUUUGAUAUGACAUUUCCCAAAAGUUAUAAAUAAAUGCCGUGAAUCUUUUAUUGACAUUUUAAUAUAAAUGUCAAAAAUAUGAUUGUGACAUUUUAUUAAGGCUAUAAAUACAUGUCGUAAAUCUUUUACCAACAUUAGGCUAAAUGUCAUAAAUUUCAAGUGACAAUUUUAUAAAUGUCGCAAAUCUCUUACCAACAUUAACAUAAAUGUCAGAAAAUUUCCGACCCCAAAAUUUACGACAUUUAGUACAAAUGUAAAUUAAAUGUCGGUAAAUGAAUUAACGACAUUUAAGUGAACUAAUAUGACAUUUAUAUAAUGUCGUCGUAUCCUCAUUUUAUUGUAGUGUGUAUUAAGAUACUAGUCUUUCUUCUGUAGCUUGUGACUUAUGACUACCGGAUUUUGGAAAUUUACUGUGUAUACCCGAGUGUUGGGUUUUGUACAUGCCGAGCGACAUUUUAUCAACUACUUAUUAUUUUAUUGCAGUUUAUUAUUAAUUUUACUUUUAUUUCCAUUUUUUCCGCCUUUUGUUAGGCUUACCUAGUCGUAGAGACUAGGUGCCGUCAUGACAUCUUACGGAGGGAAAAUUAGGUCGUGACAUCAACAUCCAGUCAACCAUUUCAACUUAAGCUUUCAACCGUGAGACUAAGUAUCUUACUUCCUUCCAAAAACCCCAUCGGACCCGAACUGACUACCCCGACAAGUCAUAUAACAGCUAUAUAGUACAAAAUGAGCAGUAAAUGAGGCUAUAACUCUCAAAAUGACCGGCCGGGUCGUUACCCCUCUUAAACAAACGUUCGCCCUCGAACGGGUCUAGAAACAUACUUGAAGUCUGAAAUAGGUAUGGAUAUCUGCUUCGCAUUUCCCGCCCAGUCUCCCAAGUAGCCUCCUCAACUGGCUGACCUCUACACUGAACCUUCACUAAAGUUAUGUCCUUUGACCAUAACUUUCAAACCUGUCGAUCCAAAAAGGUCACCGGCUCCAUAUCAUAAGUCAAAUCACCAUCUAACUAGACCGUGUUGAAAUCCAAAACAUCAGACGGAGCAUUGACAUACAUCCGGAGCAUAGAAACAUGAAAUACUGGAUGCACACUCGACAAACUAGGUGGCAAGGCCAGCUUAUAAGCCACCUCCCCAAUUCUCUGAAAUACCUCAAACGGCCCAAUAUACUGAGGGCUCAACUUGCCCUUCUUCCCGAACCUCAUAACACCCUUCAUGGGUGAAACCUUGAGCAGAAGCUUCUCCCCAACCAUGUAAGCAACAUCACAGACCUUCCUAUCGGCAUAACUCUUCUGUCUAGGCUGCGCCGUGCAAAGCCGAUCCUGAAUCAAUUUGACCUUGUCCAAAGCAUCGUGAAAUAAGUCAGUACCCAAUAGCCUAGCCUCACCAGGCUCAAACCAGCCCACCGUAGAUCUACGCCGUCUCCCAUACAAAGCCUCAUACGGAGCCAUCUGAAUGCUCGACUGGUAGCUAUUGUUGUAGGCAAACUCCGCGAGUGGCAGAAACUGAUCCCAAGGACCCUCAAAAUCAAUGACAUAAGUGCGUAGCAUGUCCUCCAAUAUCUGAAUAGUGCGCUCUUACAAUCCGUCUGUCUGAGGGUGAAAUGCUAUGCUCAACUAAACCUAGGUACCCAACUCUCGCUGCAUGGAUCUCCAAAACUACAAUGCAAACUGUGUGCCCCGAUCUGAAAUGAUGGAUACUGGCACACCGUGGAGGCGGACAAUCUCUCAGAUGUAAAUCUCAGCCAACCGCUCCAAAGUAUAAGUAGUCCCAAUUGGAAUGAAGUAUGCGGACUUGGUCAGCCGAUCCACAAUCACCCAAAUAGCAUCGAACUUCCUCAAAGUACGUGGGAGCCCAACUAUAAAAUCCAUGGUGAUCCGCUCCUAUUUUCACUCUGGAAUCUCUAACCUAUGAAUCAAUCCGCCCGGUCUCUGAUGCUCAUACUUCACCUGCUGACAGUUGAGGCACCGAGCUACAAACCCCAUUAUAUCCUUCUUCAUUCUCCUCCACCAAUAGUGCUGCCUCAAGUUCUAAUACAUCUUUGCGGCACCCGGAUGAAUGGAAUACCGCAAACUGUGGGCCUUCUCAAGAAUCAACUCACGUAGCCCAUCCACAUUAGGCACACAAAUCUGACCCUGCAUCCUCAAUACCCCAUCAUCCCCAAUAGUAACAUUUCUGGCAUCACCGUGCUGAAUUGUGUCCUUAAGAACAAGCAAAUGAGGAUCAUCAUACUGUCGCUCUCUUAUGCGAUCAUAUAAGGAAGACCGAGAAACCACACAAGCUAGAACCCGACUGGGCUCCGAGACAUCUAAUCUCACGAAUGGGUUGGUCAAAGCCUGAACAUCAACUGCAAAAGGUCUCUCACCAAUAGGAAUGAAUUCAAGGCUACCCAUACCCACCGCCUUUCUACUCAAGGCAUCGGCUACCACAUUAGCCUUCCUGGGAUGAUACAGAAUAGUGAUAUCAUAGUCCUUUAGCAGCUCCAACCAUCUUCGCUGCCUCAAAUUUAUAUCCUUCAAGUUGAACAAAUGCUGGAGACUCCGAUGAUCUGUAAACACCUCACAAGACACACCGUAGAGAUAAUGCCUCCAAAUCUUCAAUGCAUGAACGAUGACAGCUAACUCCAAAUCAUGGACAUGGUAGUUCUUCUCAUGAGGCUUCAACUGGCGCGAGGAAUUAGCAAUCCCUCUAUCCUCCUACAUCAAGACACAUCCAAUACCAAUCCGAGAAGUAUCAUAAUACACUGUAUAAGAACCAGAAGCUGAAGGUAGAACUAGAACUAGAACUGGAGCUGUGGUCAAGGCAGUUUUGAGCUUCUUAAAGCUCUCCUCACACUUAUCCGGUCACCUAAAAAUAGCACCCUUUUGGGUCAAUUUGCUCAAAGGCGAUGCAAUAGACGAGAAACCCUCCACAAAGUGACGAUAAUAACCGGCCAAGCCGAGAAAGCUCCAAAUCUCCGUAGCUAAGGACGGUCUGGGCCAACUCUGAACUGCCUUUGUCUUCUUCGGAUCUACCUGAAUCCCUUCACUGGAUACCACGUGCCCCAAGAAUGCCACUGAACUAAGCCAAAACACACAUUUGGAGAACUUAGCAUAAAGUUUCUCCUCCUUCAACCGAUGCAACACAAUCCUCAAAUAUUAGGCAUGCUCCUCAUGGAUACGAGAGUACACCAGGAUGUCAUCAAGGAACACUAUGACAAACGAGUCAAGAUAAGGCUGAAAUACAUUGUUCAUCAGAUGCAUGAAUGUUGCUGGGGCAUUGGUCAGCCCAAAAGACAUCAAAAGAACUCAUAAUGACCAUAACAGGUCCUGAAUGUCGUCUUUAGAAUAUCCGAGUCCCGAAUCUUCAACUGGUGAUACCCAGACCGCAAGUCAAUCGUAGAGAACACCCUCGCUCCCUGGAGCUGGUCAAAUAGAUCAUCAAUGCGUGGCAAAGGAUACUUGUUCUUGAUUGUAACUUUGUUUAACUGCCUAUAAUCUAUACACAUCCGCAUAGUGUCAUCCUUAUUCUUCACAAACAGAAUCGGUGCACCCCAAGCCGACAUACUAGGCCUAAUAAACCCCUUAUCAAGAAGCUCUUGAAGCUGAACCUUCAAUUCCUUCAAUUCAUCUGGCGCCAUACGAUACGGAGGAAUAGAAAUGGGCUGAGUGCCCGGCACCAAGUCAAUACAAAGUCAAUAUCCCUAUCGGACGGCAUGCCUGGCAGGUCUGCUGGAAACACAUCCAGAAAAUCUCGCACCACCGAAAUAGAAUCAAUAGAAGGAGUAUCAACACUACAUCCCUCAUAAAGGCCAAAUAAGAUAAACAACCCUUCCCAACCAUCCGCUGGACCUUCAAAUAUGAAAUCACUAUAAUGGGAACAUAAUCUAGAGAACCUCUCCACUUGAUCCUUGGCAACCCCGACAUCACCAACGUCACGGUCUUAGCAUGAUAAGCCUCCCACAUCUGAAGGCAGUCCCAGUGAACUUAAAAGUAGUAAACGAGACCCCACUGGUCUCCAGAAUACCCGCAGUACGUAUAAUCUGCUGGCAUUUAUCCAAGAAACCCUGAGCAUCCUCUGACUCAGCACCGCUAAAUGAUAGAGGCUGAAACCUCCCAAAUCUCUCAAGUCUCCUAUGCUCAUCAUCAGUUAUAACGGGGACCACCUGGGCCUGAGCAGCUGCAAUCGACUGGGCUGGUAGUACCCCCGGUGUUUGAAGUCCCUGCAUCACCUGCUCUGGAGUACGGGCGGCGGGGGUAUGAGUACCUCCCCCGGCCUGAUAAGUGGCUGGUGCGGCCUGAGCUGAAACCACCUGACCAAGGUCAGUGCAAACAGUCAAUAUCUGGGUCAACGCCUCCUGAAGGCCUAUAAUCACAAUGGGCACAGCUGGUGCCUGAGCUGGCCCCACUGGCUCAACCACAAUCGGAACCUGCUCCUGACCUAGAGCAACUGGUGGAUCUGCAGGUGCUUCUCUAGCUGCUGUACGAGCUGCACCUCUGCCCCUACCACGACCUCGGCCUCUCGUGGCCCUAGCUGGCAGUACUGGUGGUUGUCCGUCCUGCCCAAUAGCACGUGUGCUCACCAUUUGUGAGAGAAUAGAACAACAAAAAUUUAGUGACCGGAAUCAACAAAUCCGCAUGACAAGAAUACAAGAAUGUGAAGUUUCCUAAGGGUUCGGAAGCCUUUCGAAGAUAAGUACAAACGUCUCCAUACCGAUCCGCAAGACUCUACUAAACCUGCUCAUGACUCGUGAGACUUAUGUAACCUAGGCUCUAAUACCCACUUGUCACGACCCAAAAUCCUAAACUGUCGUGAUGGCGCCUAUCGUGGUACUAGGCAAGCCAACAAUUCAAAAUAUUUCCAACACUUUUAAUAGAAAAUGAAUUAAAGCAGUUUAAAUAAUAAAAGUUCUCAUAAAUAGGAUAGAAACCCAAAACACAACACGGAAGUUCCCAACUAUCGGGGUGUCACAGAGUACAUGAGCAACUGUACAUCACAAGUCUGAAAAAUAUUGUCUAUGAUAGUCUGAAACUAAAUAUAAUAAGUGAAAAGAUAGGAAAGGAGAGACAAGGUCUGCAAAACGCCAAGUAGCUACCUCGAUGGUCUCCGAGAAUCCGAACUCCACAACUCAGCAACCACCGUGACCGGAAGCACCUAGAUCUGCACACAAGGUGCAGGGUGUAGCGUGAGUACAACCAACUUAAUAAGUAACAAAUCUAAUCUUUGGACUGAAAGGUAGUGACGAACUUUGCAGGUACAGUUGAACAUAGAAGUAACAGUACAUGAAUGUAGGCAUGCUUCCAAGUUCAACAGUUAAUCUCAAUUCAAGUAAAAUAGAUCAAAUUCUAAAUGAUAUAAGGAGUAUGACCUCUCUACAUCUACAUGCCAAUGCACAUGUCGUAUGUGAUGCACCACACUGAAAGUUUCGUGUACUCACACUCUCAGAAUACUCAAUCGCUCAAUACUGUAUAUGGCCAAUCCAGCCUCAGCCCAAGGGAACAUCCAUCCCCAAUAUAAAUGAUUCGGACAAGAUCCAUGUCCAGGGAAGAUUCAUCCCCAAUAUAAAUGAUUCGGACAAGAUCCAUGUCUAGGGAAGAUCCAUCCCUCAAUAUAACCAAUUACGCUCGCUGGGGAUGUGUAUAGACUCUGGAGGGGCUCCUUCAGCCCAAGCGCUAUAAUAAGCCAGAUCCAGGCAUAAAUCAAUAAACAUGAUGCGGCGUGCAACCCAAUCCCAUAACUGUCACUCUCAAUUAGGCCCUCGGCCUCACUCAAUCAUCAAUCUCUCUAGUCUUUCUCUCUCUCGGGCUCACAGUGUCGUGAACCUAGCCCAAAAUGGUGAUAUGACAUAGCAAUAAAUAGUAACAGAGACUAAGAAAUGAUAUGCAAUGAAUAAAUAUGACUAAGUACGAAAUGUCAAUGUAAUCAAUAAGUCAACAGCAAGGAAGCGACCACUAUAGGUCACAACAGUACCGGCAAUAACCUAAACAUGAUUGACAGCUCAAUUACUUAUCACAUGAUGAAAACACAGACAUCAACAAGAAAUAUCCACUAUACAGUUCUAUGGAAUCGACUAGGUCACAGUUCUUACGGUACACGCCCACACAUCCGUCACUUGGCAUGUGCGUCACCUCAACACCAAUCAUAUAACACAAAAUUCAGGAUUUCGAACCCUUAGAGCCAAGUUUAGAAGUGUUACUUACCUCAAUCCGAGCUUAUCUCUACUCCAACACACCCUUGCCUCACGAAAUGGCCUCUGAAUGCCUCGAAUCUAGCCAUAAACAAUUCGAUAUAAUCAACACGGGAUAAACGAAUCAAUUCCAGAAGAAAUAUACUAAGUUAUUAAUCAAAAGUCAAAAAUCGACUCAAAAGACAGUCCCCGGGCCCACAUUUUGAAAUUCGAUAAAAGUCACAAAAUCCGAAAGCCCAUUCAAUUACGAGUCGACCCAUACCAAAAUUACCCAAAUCCGACAGGACAAUCUCGAUCAAAACCUCAAAAUUCGGCCUAAGAACUUUCCUCCAUUUCCCCCCAAAUUUCCACCCCAAAUAACUAAUUUAAUGAUGAAAUUAAAGACAUAAUCAUGGAAAUUAACCAAAACUAGGUAGGAGUCACUUACCCCAAUCACCCACUUGAAAAUCUCUCCAUGAAUCGCCUCCCACCGAGCUCCCAAAUUAAUUUUUGUGUUAUGAACUCAAACCCUUAUUUUGAAAUAUUUAAAGUUCUGCCCAGUAAUUCUUAAUCGCGGUAGCGGAAAUAGCCUCGCGAUCGCGAAACACAACUCAGCUGCCCCAGAAAUAAAGACUACGCGAAAUAGGAGACCUCCACGCGAACGCGAACCACUGCUUCUUCCAACCUACACAAUCGUGUUUCCCCCUGCGAUCGCGAAGCACAACCGCGUGAGAACCAAUUGCCUCCUCUCAUCUUCGCGAACGCUGUAAUGCCCACGCGUUCGCGAUGCACUGACUAGCCAAACCUACACGAUCGCAUACCACUACUCGCGAAUGCAUAGGGCAAAUAUCACUACUGCUCCAAACAAGCCUACUGUCACGACCCAAAAUCUCACCUGUCGUGAUGGUGCCUAUCUCAAUAGUAGGCAAGCCGACAAUCUCAAUAAACCACCAUAUAUUUUAAGGUUGAAAACAUAAUAUUUAAAUUCAGCCGAAGAAAUCUCACAAUUACAAAUAUAAAUACUCCCAAAACUCGGUGUCACUGAGUACAUGGAUAUCUAAUAUGAAUACAAAGUCUGAUUGACAAAACACUGUCUGAAAGUAUAGAACAGUACAAUAACUGAAAGAAAGGGAGUCAAGGUCAGCGGACUCCGGACAGCCACCUUGAUAGUCUCCAACUGAUAGCACUCUGAGAUCUAACUGUCGCCGUGUCCGAAAUCACCUGGAUCUGCACACGAGGUGCAGAGUGUAGUAUGAGUACAACCAACUCAAUAAGUAACAAGACUAACCUUUGGACUGAAAGUAGGGACGAGCUCCGCAGGUACAGUGCAGUAUAAAUAAUAAUAAUACAGAAAUGUAGGCAUGCUUUCAAGUUCAACAGUUGCUUUCAGUACAAAAAAAAUAGAUCAAUUCUAAACAAUACGAGGAAUAUGACAUCUCUGUAUCUACAUGCCAAUGUACAUACUGUAUGUGAUGUACCUUAGUGAAAACACUGUGUACUCACAAUCUAAGAUACUCAAUCACUUAGUAUUGUAUAUGGCCAAUCCAGCCCAGGGGAGAUCCACCCCAAAUAUAUAUAUGUAUAUCCAUUAACUGACAGUCAGUCACUCAGUACUGUAUAAGGUCAAUCCAGUCCAGGGAAUAUCCAUCCCAUAUAUAUAUGUAUAUCCAUCAACUGACAUUCAGUCACUCAGUACCGUAUAAGGCCAAUCCAGCCUAGGGAAGAUCCAUCCCAAAUAUAUAUGUAUAUCCNNNNNNNNNNNNNNNNNNNNNNNNNNNNNNNNNNNNNNNNNNNNNNNNNNNNNNNNNNNNNNNNNNNNNNNNNNNNNNNNNNNNNNNNNNNNNNNNNNNNNNNNNNNNNNNNNNNNNNNNNNNNNNNNNNNNNNNNNNNNNNNNNNNNNNNNNNNNNNNNNNNNNNNNNNNNNNNNNNNNNNNNNNNNNNNNNNNNNNNNNNNNNNNNNNNNNNNNNNNNNNNNNNNNNNNNNNNNNNNNNNNNNNNNNNNNNNNNNNNNNNNNNNNNNNNNNNNNNNNNNNNNNNNNNNNNNNNNNNNNNNNNNNNNNNNNNNNNNNNNNNNNNNNNNNNNNNNNNNNNNNNNNNNNNNNNNNNNNNNNNNNNNNNNNNNNNNNNNNNNNNNNNNNNNNNNNNNNNNNUGCCUAGGGAAGAUCCAUCCCUCAAUAUAAAUGCUUCGGGUAAGAUCUAUGCCCAGGGAAGAUCUAUCUCUCGAUAUAAAUGCUUCAAGCAAGAUCCAUGCCCAGGGAAGAUCCAUCCCUCAAUAUAUAUCAACCGCACUCACUGGGGGUGUGUGCAGACUCCGGAGGGGCUCCUUCAGCCCAAGCGCUAUAAAUCAACCGCGCUCACUGGGUGUGUGUGCAGACUAUGGAGGGAUUCCUUCAGCCCGAGAUCUAUAUAAAGCCGAUAUGGGGUACUGUGGUGUGCAGUCCGAUCCGAUAAUAAUAAUUAAGCCUAUAAGGCCUGUUGCAGGCGGCCAUCCCCGAUCCAUAUAGUAAUAAAGCCUAUAAGGCCUGCUGCGGCAUGCAGCCCGAUCCUAUAAUAAUAAUAUAUAUAUAUAUAUAUAUAUAUAUAUAAAGUCCAUAUGGCCUGCUGCAGGCGGGCAACCCCGAUUCAAUAAAUAUCUUCACAAUGGAUGAGCAUGACUGAGUAUGAAAUGUACCUUUUAAAAUAAUUAAUUUAACAACAACACGACCCUAUGGGUCCCAAAAUAUCGGCACAUAGCCUAAACAUGAUCUUUAUUACGAGCCUCAGCUUAAUUCCUCUAACACGUGUGGCAUGUUCAGAUAAUAACAUGAUUCUUUAACUUUGCAACUUCACAGGAUUUAUUCAAGUCAAUUUAUAUGGUGCACGUCCUCGUCAACUAUCGUGUGUGUCACCUCCAAACAAUUUAUAUAAUACCAAUUCGGGGAUUCAUACCCUCAAAACCAAUUUUAUAAGUGUUACUUACCUCAACCCGUGUAAUUUCUCACUCUGUUAUUCCCUUUCCUCGAGAAUUGGUCUCUGAAGGCCUCGUAUCUAGUCACAAAUAAUUUGAUUCAGUCAAUAAAAAUUACUGGAAUUAAUUCCAUAAGAAAAUAUAAUUUUUCUAACAAAAUCCAAAAUUUAGCUCAAAAAUCGCCCGUGGGGCCCACGUCUCGGAACCCGACAAAAGUUACAAAAUUCGAAAGCCCAUUGAACCACGAGUCUAACCAUACCAAUUUUACCAAAAUCCGACCUCAACUCGACCCUCAAAUCUUCAAAUUAAACCAAGAGGUUUUUCUAAAUUUUUCAACUCAAUUCACUAAUUUAGUGAUAAAAACAACAAUAGAUUCAUGUAAUUUAACAAAAAUCAGGUUAGGAAUUCUUACCCCAAUGUUUUUCUUGAAACAAUCUCGAAAUAUCGGCUCACCUGAGCUUCCUUGGUCCAAAUAUGGAAGAAUGAGAUGAAUUUGGACUUUAUUCUGCUGCCCAGGGGUUUGUUCUUCGUGUUCGCGACCCUCCCCUCGCGUUCGCGAUGAACAAAAUCUCCAACAUCCAUUUUCAGACACUUCUCAGAUAGCCUCUAGUAUAAUGGUCAUAACAUUUUGUACAAAACUCUAAAUGUUAAAUGGUUUAAAUUUAGGAAAAUUAGACACCAAGGGCUAUAAUUUUCAUUUGUUGCUUAUCUUCCAAUUCCUUAUAGAUUUCGAGAUAUACGCUUCCAAAGUUAGCCCUGUGCAACAGAGAUUUUUAAGCUCUUCCCAGGAAGCCUGUAGUGUAUCUACUAUAUCCUUUGGUAACCAAAUCCAACUGACAAAUGGUUUACUUUUCCGAAUACUAGACACAAAGGACUACAACUUUCAUUUGUUGCUCAUCUCCCAAUUCCUUAUAGAUUGCAAGAUAUACGCUUUCAAAGUCAGCCUUGUGCAACAGAGAUUUUUAAACGCCUCCCAGAUAGUCUGUAAUGUAUCUACCAUAACCUUUUGUACACAACUCCAAAUGACAAAUGGUUUACCUUUCCGAAAACUAGACAGAAAGGGCUACAACUUUUAUUUUUGGAUCAAUUCCAAAUUCCUUAUACAUUGCGAGAUAUGAACUUCCAAAGUCAAACGAUGGAUAGCAAAAAUUCCUUCUUCGCGAAUGUGAAGAACAAAGUCCCAACAACAAAAUCCUUCUUCGCGAACGCGAGAGGAUCCUCGCGAACACGAAGAACAAUACCAGAACCAGCAACAUCAAAAUACCCAAACUUGGUCGGGAACCACCCCGAAUCAAACCCGAGGCCCCCGGGACUCCGUCCAAUUGUACCAACCAGUCCCAUUACAUAACACGAACCUGCUGGAGGCAUCAAAUCACAUCAAAUAACAUUAAAAACACGAAUCACACAUAGAUUCAAGCUUAAUGAACUUUGAAACUUCCAAUUUCUACAAACGACACCGGAAUCUAUCAAAUCACGUCUGAUUGACCUCAAAAUUUGCAUACAAGUCAUAAAUGACAUAAUGGGCCUAUUCAAAUUUCCAGAAUCGGAUUUUGACCCCGAUAUAAAAAAGUCAACCCCCCGGUCAAACUUCCCAAAAAUUUGACUUUCGCCAUUUCAAGCCUAAUUCCUCUAUGGACCUCCAAAUAAUUUUUCGGAUGCGUUCCUAAGUCCUAAAUCACCAUACAGAGCUAUUGGAAUCAUGAGAUUUCAAAUCCGAGGCCGUUUACACACAAGUCAACAUCCGGUUAACUUUUCCAGCUUAAGUUUUCAAUUAUGAGACUAAUUGUUUCAUUUCACCUCGAAAUCCUUCCGGACCCGAACUAACUAACCCAGUAAGUCAUAAAAUAAUUGUAAUAUAUAUAUUGAGCAGUAAAUGGGGGAACGGGAUUAUAAUACUCAAAACGACCGGCCGGGUCGUUACACUCUCCCCCACUUAAACAUAUGUUCGUCCUCGAACGUGCCAAGAGUUGUUUUCAAGCCACCAAAUCACUAUUCCAUCUUACCACGCAUGAACCCGGGGGUGAUCCCACGUCACCCUAUUCUAUAUAGGCCUGAAAACACAAUACAACUGAAAAUCGUUAAUUUAACCUUAGCCCAUAAACUUAGAACCCAAAUUUCCAACAUCCAGAAUUCUUUUCAAGACACGAAUCUCAUAUCUAUACAUUGUAUAAGUCUGAACAAGCUGUAUCAAGCCAUAUCCAUAACCCCAGAUAUAAUCACGUAACAUACUACGCAACUCACAUGCUCGCAGCACCAUUCCCGAUCACAGUAACUACUGAAACCAACCGCUACUGGUAUUAAACACCAUAUCAACCAAAAACUCGUUCCAAAACCUUCGUACACUGGUGAUAAUGACAGAAACACACGUAAUAUCAUGACCCCUUAUUCGAUCAACAAGUCAUGGAGCCCUCUCGCCCCAACCAGAACCAUAAUCACUUUCUAAGACGACUUUCAAUAUUAUCCUUCCGAAUAUACUGUAAUCAAACCUGAUAUUACCCAUUCUAGGUCUAAUGACCUUGUAUUAUUAAACACAACUAUCCUACAGAUAAGCCACAACGGCGCAAUUCUUGUACCCAAAAAUGGAAAAUGUCUCAAAGAAGAGAACCGUAUUGCAAGUUCAAAAAGAACCACCACAACUGCAAUGCUAUAAUCUCAUUAUAUAUAGUAGAACCAAGACACACGAAUUUAAUAAGAGUAACCAGCUCUUCUAGAGCUCACAUUAUCAUCACUCGCACGGCCAACUCACGUGCUAUUGUAUCAAUAUCUGGACCCGCACGGACAACUCAAGUGCCAAUAAUAUCAGUAUAUGGAUCCGCACGGACAACUCAUGUGCCAAUAAUAUGAUCUUCCUGGCAUGGUCACAUGCCUCCAGUCCAAGCAUAUCAUACAAGAGCAAUCAAAUAAGUACACAUGUAUAUGAUAAAUGAAUUAUGAUUCUCAUGAUCCUGGACUGGUAAAAAUAACAUGACAUGGAGUAGGCAGGUGCAAGGUGUGAUAUCACUACUCAAAUUAGCAAGUUAACGCAGAGAUAUUAACUACCCAAACAGGCCAAAAGACACAAGUCCCAUUAGCACAACGACCCCAAAGAAUUAACCCUGCCUUAACACCACCAAUCAAAUUCAUACUUCGUGCGCACUACAUCCUUCAAAAUAAAAAUUUAAUCAUUUCAUGAUUUUUCAUAAAGAGAAAUAUAAUCCGCAUUUAAGAAAUUUUCUUACUCAAGUCAUCCCCGACCUCAAUCUCUGCAAGUCAUAACCGAUUCACAUGUAUGUCUCAAACCGAAAUCAGUACAACACAUAACCAUGAAAUCAAAUCAUCAAUAGCAGGCUCCCCCACUUGGCUCAAAGCCAUAGAACAAAACAUUCCAUAACUCACAAUAUCCGUACUCUAUUACUGCCAUAAUACUUCAGUCAGUUCAACAAAAAUUCUUCACAAGCUCAGGUAACACAAACCAUAAAAUACCUCAAUUCAUUUGCUAAGAUCGCCUUCAUUCUCGUGACAGUCAGGUUAACUUUCUCAACCAGAUUCAAAUUCAAAUAUCAACACAUACACUCCGCUGGUAGAAAAUAAACUAUCCACUCAACAUUAUAGGGAACACACCUACGUAGAUUACUCCGCAAGAGAUAACCCACCUGUUUAGCCUCAAAUUGGCAUCUUGUUAUACUCUUUCAUAGCCAUAAUUACUACGCAAUCACUUAAUCUUGUCGAGUCCAAACUCAGUAACAAGACAUGAGAAUUUAAUUUGUCCCACAAUUUAACAACGUGAAAGAUCCUUCAACACAUUCAUACUCGAAACUAUACGUCAAAUCAAGACAGACACCAAGCACCCUUUUUUUCUUUUUUUAAUUAAAAGGAAAAUACUUCUCAUCACAUUCAAACUAUCUUAACACAUCCCGCAAUCACAUCAUACUUAUCAUAUAGCCAUUUAACCGCUCAUCGAGCUACAAAUUCCUCUCAUAGGAACAUUACCAGACAUAUGAGUCUAAAUAUACAAGUUCUCACAACCAAAACUGCUGAGUCUAAGUUGCGGUCUAAAUUUGGCUUCAAGUCCUCUAGAUCGGUCCAUCACCAAAACACAGAAUACACAUCUCCAACCUCGUCAUGGAAUCACAAGCCAACGAUGCACAGUUGAUACUGAGCGCUCACAUGCGCACACGAAUGCAUGGAAGGAAUUCAAAGAGUUAUGUUUCAAGCUGAAUCAAUUCCGCACGAUAGAAUACAAGAAAGUGAAAUUUUUCUAAGGGUUCAGCAGCCUCUCAAAGAUAAGUACAGACAUCUCUGUACCGAUCCGCAAGACUCUACUAAACCUGCUCAUGACUCGUGAGACCUAUGUAACCUAGAGCUCUGAUACCAACUUGUCACGACCCAAAAUAUUACAUGUCGUGAUGGCAUCUAUCUUAAUACUAGGCAAGCCGACAAUCUCAAUAAACCACCAUAUAUUUUAAGUUUGAAAACAUAAUAUUUAAAUUCAGCGAAAGAAAUCUCACAAUUACAUAUAUAAACACUCCCAAAAUCCGGUGUCACUGAGUACAUGAGCAUCUAAUAUGAAUACAAAGUCUAAUUGACAAAACACUGUCUGAAAGUAUAGAACAGUAAAAUAACUGAAAGAAAGGGAAUCAAGGUCAGCGGACUCCGGACAACUACCUUGAAAAUCUCCAACUGAUAGCACUCUGAGAUCUAACGGUCGUCGUAUCUGAAAGCACCUAGAUCUAUACACGAGGUGCAAAGUGUAGUAUGAGUACAACCAACUAAAUAAGUAACAAGACUAACCUUUGGACUAAAAGUAGGGACGAGCUCCGCAUGUACAAUCCAGUAUAAAUAAUAACAAUACAGAAAUGUAGGCAUGCUUUCAAGUUCAACUGUUGCUUUCAAUACAAAUAAAAUAGAUCAAUUCUGAACAAUAUGAGGAAUAUGUCAUCUCUGUAUCUACAUGCCAAUGUACAUACUGUAUCUGAUGCACCUUAGUGAAAACUCUGUGUACUUACAAUCUAAGAUACUCAAUCACUCAGUAUUGGAUAUGGCCAAUCCAGCCCAGGAAAGAUCCAUCCCAAAUAUAUAUGUAUAUCCGUCAACUCACAGUUAGUCACUCAGUACUAUAUAAGGCCAAUCCAGCCCAGGGAAGAUCCAUCCCAAAUAUAAAUGUAUAUCCAUCAACUGACAGUCAGUCACUCAGUACCGUAUAAGGUCAAUCCAGCCCAGGGAAUAUCCAUCCCAAAUAUAUAUGUAUAUCUAUCAACUGACAAUCAGUCACUCAGUACUAUAUAAGGCCAAUCCAACCGAGAGGAAGAUCCAUCCCUCAAUAUAAAUGCUUUGGGCAAGAUCCAUGCCCAGGGAAGAUCCAUCCCUCGAUGUAAAUGCUUCGGGCAAGAUCCAUCCCUCAAUAUAUAUCAACCACGCUCACUGGGGGUGUGUACAGACUCCGGAGGGGCUCCUUCAACCCAAACGCUAUAAAUCAACCGCGCUCACUGGGGGUGUGUGUAAACUCUGGAGGGGCUCCUUCAGCACAAGCGUUAUAUAAAGCCGAUAUGGCCUACUACGGCGUGCAGUCUGAUCCCAUAAUAAUAAUAAAGCCUAUAAGGCCUGUUGCAGGCGGACAUCCCCGAUCCAUAUAGUAAUAAAGCCUAUAAGGCCUGCUGCGGCGUGCAACCCGAUCCUAUAAUAAUAAUAAUAUAUAUAUAAAGUCGAUAUGGCCUGCUGCAGGCGGGCAACCCCGAUUCAAUAAAUAUUUUCACAAUGGAUGAGCAUGACUGAGUAUGAAAUGUACAUUUUAAAAUAAUUAAUUCAACAGCAACACGACCCUAUGGGUCCCAAAAAUAUCGACACAUAGCUUAAACAUGAUUUUUAUUACGAGCCUCAGCUCAAUUCCUCUAACACGUGUGGCAUGUUCAGAUAAUAACAUGAUUCUUUAACUUUGCAACUUUACAGGAUUUAUUCAAGUCAAUUUAUAUGGUGCACAUCCUCGUCAACUAUCGUGUGUGUCACCUCCAAACAAUUUAUAUAGCACCAAUUCGGGGAUUCAUACCCUCAGAACCAACUUUAUAAGUGUUACUUACCUCAACCCGUGUAAUUUCUCACUCUGUUAUUCCCUUGCCUCGAGAAUUGGUCUUCGAAAGCCUCGUAUCUAGUCACAAAUAAUUCGAUUCAGUCAAUAAAGAUUACUAAAAUUAAUUCCAUAAGAAAAUAUAAUUAUUUCAAUAAAAUUCGAAAUUUAGCUCAAAAAUCGCCCGUGGAGCCCAUGUCUCGGAACCCGACAAAAGUUACAAAAUCCGAAAGUCCAUUGAACCAUGAGUCUAACAUUACCAAUUUUACAAAAAUCCGACCUCAACUCGACCCUCAAAUCUUCAAAUUAAACCAAGAGGGUUUUCUAAAUUUUUCAACUCAAUUCAUUAAUUUAGUGAUAAAAACAACAAUAGAUUCAUGUAAUUUAACCAAAAUCAGGUUAGGAAUUCUUACCCCAAUAUUUUCCUUGAAAAACUCUCGAAACAUCGCCUCACCCGAGCUUCCUUGGUCAAAUAAUGGAAGAAUGAGACGAAUUUGGACUUUAUUCUGCUGCCCAGGGGUUUGUACUUCGCGUUCGCGAUGAACAAAAUCUCCAACAACCAUUUUCAAACCCUUCUUAGACAGCCUCUAGUAUAAUGGUUAUAACUUCCUUUAUAAAACUCAAAAUGUUGAAUGGUUUAAAUUUCGAAAAACUAGAAAACAAGGGCUAUAACUUUCAUUUGUUGCUCAUCUCCCAAUUCCUUAUAGAUUGUGAGAUAUACGCUUUCAAAGUCAGCCCUGUGCAACAGAGAUUUUCAAGCUCUUCCCAGACAGCCCGUAGUGUAUCCACCAUAACAUUUGGUACACAACUCCAACUGGCAAAUGGUUUACUUUUCUGAAUACUAAACACAAAGUGCUACAACUUUAUUUGUUGCUCAUCUUCCAGUUCCUUAUAGAUUACUAGAUAUACGCUUCCAAAAUCAGCCCUGUGAAACAAAGAUUUUCAAAUUCUUCCCAGACAGCCUGUAGUAUAUCCACCAUAACUGUUUGUACACCACUCCAAAUGACAAAUAGUUUACCUUUUUGCAAAACUAGAUGCAAAGGACUACAACUUUUAUUUAGGAUCUACUUUAAAUUCCUUAUAGAUUGCGAGAUAUGAGCCUCCAAAGUCAGAUGACGGACAACAAACAUUCCUUCUUCGCGAACGCAAGAGCCUCUUCGCGAACGCGAAGAACAAAGUCCCAACAUCAAAAUACUUCUUCGCGAACACAAGAGGCUCCUCACGAAUGCGAAGAACAAUACCAGAACCAACAACCAGCAUCAUCAAAACACCCAAACUUGGUCCGGAACCACCCCGAAUCAAACCCGAGGCCCCGGGACCCCGUCCAAUCGUAGAAACCAGUCCCAUUACAUAACACGAACAUGCUCGAGGCCUCAAAUCACAUCAAACAACACUAAAAACAAGAAUCACACAUAGAUUCAAGCCUAAUGAACUUUGAAACUUCCAAUUUCUACAAACGACAUCGGAACCUAUCAAAUCACGUCCGAUUGACCUCAAAUUUUGCACACAAGUCAUAAAUGACAUAACAAACCUAUUCAGAUUUCCAGAAUCGGAUUUCGACCCCGAUAUCAAAAAGUUUACCCCCCGGCCAAACUUUUCAAAAAUUUAACUUUCGCCAUUUCAAGCCUAAUUCCUCUACAGACCUCCAAAUAAUCUUUCGGACACGCUCCUAAGUCCUAAAUCACUAUACGGAGCUAUUGGAAUCAUCAGAAUUCAAAUUUGAGGUCGUUUACACAUAAGUCAACAUCCGGUUAACUUUUUCAACUUAAGUUUUCAAUUAUGAGACUAAGUGUCUCAUUUCACCCCGAAAUCCUUUCGGACCCGAACCAACUAACCAGGUAAGUCAUAAAAUAACUGUAAAGCAUAAAUUGAGCAGUAAAUAGGGGAACUGGGUUAUAAACUCAAAAUGAUCGGCCGAAUCGUUACACCUAUGCGAUCGCGUACAAGGAAACCAGAUCAGAGACACCAGAAAACUUCAGCCAUAACAUCAAGUUCAAAAUUGAUCCGUUAACCAUCUGGAAUCAACCGGAGGCCCUCGAGACCUCAAACCAAACAUACCAACAAGUCUUAAAACACGAUACGAACUUAGUCGGGCCCUCAAAUCACAUCAAACAACAUCAAGAAUAUGAAUUACACCCUAAUUCAAGUCUAUUGAAACUAAGGAAUUCCAACUUCUACAAAUGACGCUGAAACCUAUCGAAUCACGUCCAAUUGACCCCAAAUUUUGCACACAACCUACUCCAACUUUCGGAACUGGAAUCUAACUCCGAUAUCAAAAAGUUCACUUCCGGUCAAACUUUUCAAAAAUCCAACUUUCGUCAUUUCAAGCCUAAUUCUACUACGGACCUCCAAAUAACAAUCAGGACAUGCUUCUAAGUCCAAAAUCACCCAACGGAGCUAACGAAAAUAUCCAAACUCCAUUCCGGAGUCGUUUACGUAUAAGCCAACAUCAUGUCAACCAUUUCAACUUAAGCUUUCAACCAUGAGACUAAGUGUCUCAUUUCCUUCCAAAACCUGACCGGACCAGAACCGAUUACCUUGACAAGUCACAUAACAACUAUAAAGUACAAAAUGAGCAGUAAAUGAGGGAACAGGGCUACAACUCUCAAAACGACCGGCCGGAUCGUUACAGCUCCAAAGUUAUGAAUUCGAAGGUUUAUAUGUUUGGAAGUUUGCGAAUUUAGAAAUUAUAGAGUUUACAUGUUCAAAAGUUUAGCGGUUCGGAAGUUUAUGAAAUUUGUGGGUUAGGAAGGUUGUUGGUUCGAAAGUUUAUUGCUUCAUGUUUAUUGUAUCUAAAUUAUUUAUGAAUACUCUUGAGAAGUUAUUUUCCUUAAUUUGCGAAUCAAACACCGAAAAAUGAGUAAGAUUUCUACUUGUUUUUCAAGAAAAUAUUUUCCGCGAAAAAUAUUUUCCGUUAUACCAAACACACCCUGAAUGAGCUUUAUAAGUCGCAACUACUGAAUGCGAUGUACAAGUCGGGUAAAUGCUCGACGCAUUACCUCACUCGAUUUAACUUAGGACCGACCCUUUUCUGUUAACUAAACGUCAACAACCUCAAUUCCUCCGUCUUCCACCGUUCUUCAAAUCGGACAUUCUCAAGACUUAGAGCCCGUUUGGAUUAGCUGAUUUGAAGUAGCUGAUAAGCAUUACAUGCUGAAAAGCAUUUUUAAGUGCUGAAAUUGAUUUAAUAAAUAAACAGUUACGUGUUUGGAUACAAGUGCUGAAAUUGAUAAUAAAUUGCUACGGUAUUUGAUAAAAUAGUUCUGAUAAGCUCUUUUUCUGUUAAAAUAACUUGAAUAACCUUAGAACUGUUUACACUUAUAAGGACAUAAUUUCUUCAAAAUUUUAGAUUCUAGAUCGAUUCAAAUACAAAAUAUUCUAUUUAUCAUUUUAUUUUAAAUACAAUUGUAAUUAAAUAAGAUACUUUUUAUGAUAAAUAUAAUUUAUUUUAUGAUAAGCAUAUAAUCAUAAGUUAUAAUAAUUAAUAAAUUGACAAAAGUUUCUCAGUAAAAAAAAAAUCUAAAUAGGAUAAUAUAUUUUAAGAGAAGCACUGUCUUCAUCACCACAACACUUUGAAACCAAUACACCAAAAAUUUGAUAUGUCCUCGUUUAUUACAUACAGUUCAAAGAUUUAUACAAAAUCACAUAAAUACAAAUAUGUAAAGGAAUAGAGAAUUUGCUUACCUAAAAUAGUCAAUGAGAAUUGCAAACUUGAAGAGACAUGGGGUUUAGGUUGAAAAAAUACUUGAGGCAAUGAUAUCGAUGUAGGAGUUUUGUUUUGAAAAGGAAUAUUUUAGAGAUAAAAUAAUAAAAAUCUUGGUCAAACUUAAAGUGCUUAUAAGCUAAAAAUUCAUAAGCUGGGGGUAACCAGCUUAUGGCUUUUGACUUAUUUUUGGCUUAUAAGCACUUUUAACUUUACCAAACACAUAAAUAAACCAAAAAAUAUUUAUAAGCUAGUUUGACCAGCUUAUAAGCUUAAAAAACCUCCUCUUACUUUUGUUUGUUUGUUUAUAUUUGUCCAGCUCGAACUCGGCAUCCGCAUUCACAAUUCGUAAGUCGUACUCCGAUUGGGAAUGAUGCUCAUUUAUAUUUAUUUCCUCCUUGUGUAUUGUGAGAGCUAGAAAAGCUUUUAUUUCCAACACUUUUGUUUUCCCUCGUCGAAAAACUAAGGAGAAAAAAAAAUUGAAAGCCUUAUUUUUUAAAUGUGUAAACCUCUUCCCUUAUGGAGUAUUUAUUGCUUAAC